rnacentral:rRNA from 1 species
GACGAACGCUGGCGGCGUGCUUAACACAUGCAAGUCGAACGAAGUGGCGAACGGGUGAGUAAAGCGUAAUCAACCUGCCCUUCGGAGGGGGACAACAGGUGGAAACGACUGCUAAUACCGCAUACUGAAGGAGGGGAUUGCGUCUGAUUAGCUAGUUGGAGGGGUAACGGCCCACCAAGGCGAUGAUCAGUAGCCGGGCUGGGAGGAUGAACGGCCACAUCUGGACUGAGACACGGCCCAGACUCCUAAGGGGGGCAGCAGUGGGGAAUUUUCCGCAAUGGACGAAAGUCUGACGGCGCAACGCCGCGUGAGUUAUGACGGCCUUCGGGUUGUAAAGCUAUGUUAAUCGGGACGCGUUACCGGAAGAGAAAGCAACGGCUAACUACGUGCCAGCAGCCGCGGUAAUAC